UUUUAAAUAUUUAAGGGCCCCGCAUUCCACUAACACUUACCACACAAUUUACACCCUAUAUUCCCUCAAGAGUUUACAAAUUAGCACAUCAUAUCGACUAUUAACACUUACACAUAUAAAUAAUUUAUUGACAUAUUGAGAUUUGACUUAAUACUAACAAUUAAAUAUUUGCACAACGUUGAAUUUAAAAUUCCUAACACCUGAAUCUGUCUUUAUGUGAGCCAAUCGCUCGGGCUACUACAGUCUACGAAGAGUACAUAAAAAUUUCUGCCAAUCUGGCCACUUCAAGCAUCUACUCCCUCCCUAAUAGAGCUCUGUUAAGGGGAUAUUAUGGACGUUACCUUAUGUCCAAAAUUACCAAUAAGCUAGAAUUCUCCCUUCGUACGACGGUCUAACCCUACGCUCAGGUAUAUAACCGGGCGUUAGAAAUUUUCACAAUAUAAAAAUCUUAACCUAAAUUCUAUACACUAAGGACAAUCACACUUAAACUACAGAUAAUUACAUUAAAUUAAACUAGUCAGUACAAAAUUUUGGUGUCAUUCCAUUUUUCAUUUAAAUUAAUUAUUAAUCAAAAUUCUCUUCUUUUUUUUCCAGGCCGCAGGAGGAAGAUAUAUAUAUGCCACUUGGCCGCACCAACCGUUCAGGACUCGAUAUUGAUGAUCUUUUUGACCUUUUCGGCAUCAGACCUACCGAGCCGACCACUGUUUGAAUACCGGUACUUUGGCGGACCGGGGCUUGGCCUCACUCACGGACUGGGCAGCUGCGCUUUCUUUAUAUAAAAAUUUGCUGACCUCCUCCACCGAAAACUUGGAGGGGUCAGAUAUCUAGCCCUCUUUUGUUGGGGUGUUAUCUUAAAAGAAAAAACACAACAUCGAAACACCAAAAAGACAUACACUAUUAGAAAAACAGAAACUUACACAAUUUUGGUCACACACACACACAUACACAACAAUCGGCAAAUAAAAAUAAAAAAUUUACGAAAACUUUACUUCCACUAUCUUGGUGUUUUUAUGGGAUCACUUUUUUUUUAAAUUUUUGCUUAGAAAAAUUUUUCCUUGCCCGUUUACCAAAACCUCAAUGGCGAAUUUUCUGUCCGUUACCCCUUUUAUACGGCAGCCAUUGGACGCGAUCUUCCCACUUUUCCUUUUUUUUUGUUCUCCCUUGUUUAUUCUCUUCCUCUUUGAUCGCACUUGGCGAGCCCUAUCGUUACCCAUGGUUGCGUAUGAUCUUAGUACCAUGUACUAAGAGGAACAUUGGCAGCACCUUGACACCCAACCGUAUCCGGUUCAUUCAUUUUUUCAAGAUCGGCUGGAGCGGUAAUUACAAAUGUAAAUUCUCGCUCAGCCGAUAAUACAGAAAAUUAAUCUUUCGCAAUCGCGGUACGCACGCAACAAAACUUCGCCAUUUUCACACAAAAAGUGAGAAAAUGGUGAUGUGCGUUACUGGAUUGUAACAUUUUCCUGCAAAGCAUCAGGAUAAAAUAAUCAAUUACAAAAGAAGAAUGGAUUUUGAUCCACACAAAAAAAACACGCUGCUGUGCUCCCACAUUGACUUGGAUAUAUGGAAAAAAUGGGUACGUAUUUCCACAAUGAAUGGCCAUGUGGGGUGGCUCAGCCUACAGGGUUAGUGUGAGUGUGUGUGUAUUUACGCAUCAUACCACCGCUUAUCGCCAUUGACAACAAUGCCGGUCACACAUACGUGUGCCGGCAACAACUACAACGGUUUGGUGCCGGUCCAACGAGCAGAACGUCGCCGUCGCAGCUGGUUUAAAAAAAAAAACACAUACACAGCACAAUAAAUGUGUGAACGUCAUCUUCAUACCAUUUGUAUGAAGAUUGAGAAACAGGUAAAUUCAAGAUUCGCGUUCGUGAAGUACCAUUUGGGAAAUAUCUGUUUUUUCUUAUUUAUUGCGCAAUUGGCGUGCGACGACAACAAGAAAUGAUCGCCAUUCAAUUCACAAUGGACAAUCUGUCUUUGCCUGUGGCGGCGUUAAUAGAGGAAUGUUCUUCGGUGUUGUGUUCCCCAAUAUUUUUUUCCCAAUUGAAUGUUAUGAAAGUGCUACAAUGAAUCUGCCAGCAUGAAGGAACAGUUUUUCGUGACCUCGUCGACUUUUUUACGUCACCACACAACAACGUUCCCCUGUGGAUCAUAAACCUUCAGGCCGCAGGAGGAAGAUAUAUAUGCCACUUGGCCGCACCAACCGUUCAGGACUCGAUAUUGAUGAUCUUUUUGACCUUUUCGGCAUCAGACCUACCGAGCCGACCACUGUUUGAAUACCGGUACUUUGGCGGACCGGGGCUUGGCCUCACUCACGGACUGGGCAGCUGCGCUUUCUUUAUAUAAAAAUUUGCUGACCUCCUCCACCGAAAACUUGGAGGGGUCAGAUAUCUAGCCCUCUUUUGUUGGGGUGUUAUCUUAAAAGAAAAAACACAACAUCGAAACACCAAAAAGACAUACACUAUUAGAAAAACAGAAACUUACACAAUUUUGGUCACACA